rnacentral:tRNA from 1 species
UCCCUAGUGACUCAGUGGUAAAGGACCUGCCUGCAAUGCAGGAGACUUGCUGGAGAUGCAGGUUCGAUCCCUGGGUUGGGAA